AAAACAGGAGCGGUUCGCCCUAUAAGGAAAUUCCCCGCCUCCCAGCCCAUCAUGCCUUGCUGCCGACUUCCGGUUCUCCAGGGUAUAAAGCGGCGGCUCCGGGCCAAAUUUCAGGAGAAGCUUUGGUGCGAGCCUCUUGACUCUUCUGACCUGGAUCGUUUUCCCUGGAAUAAAUGGUGUCAGACUCGUUGCUAAAUAGUCUGACAACCAGAGGGGACGAGCCCAUGGCUGCCGAAGGUUCCAGGUCAGCCCCCAGAGCCCGGUGAAGCCACUCUACCUCCCGCUCGCUCUUCGCGUCUCAGGUAAUCUUCGAAGCAAGGGAAGAGAAGAGUAUGCUAUCCUGUCAUGACAUUUCUUUUCAAAAUACGUGGCUUAAAGAGGAACGGAAAGAGAAGUCAUUAUUUCCAAACUUCAAGGACAGAGAUCCUCUAGGAUUCUACCCAGUAUUGAGCUUGCAUUCCUGUUGUUUCAUGAGGACAAUGCAGAGGAACUCAUGUGUAUGCUGUGUAUGCAGUGGUUUGGAGUCACAAGUGAGGAAUACUGAGCCUGCAGAAGCCACUGUAUUAAUACACCUUGCUAGACCACAAUCACAUUUGUGUUUACUUGGAGCCAAAUAA
rnacentral:lncRNA from 1 species